rnacentral:rRNA from 1 species
AUUGAACGCUGGCGGCGUGCUUAACACAUGCAAGUCGAUCGGUAACAGGUGUAGCAAUACAUGCUGACGAGAGGCGGACGGGUGAGGAAUAUUUGGGAAUCUGCCCAUCAGCGGGGGACAACCCGGGGAAACUCGGGCUAAUACCGCAUACGCUCUACGGAGGAAAGCCGGGGACCGCAAGGCCUGGCACUGAUGGAUGAGCCCAAAUCGGAUUAGCUAGUUGGCGGGGUAACGGCCCACCAAGGCGACGAUCCGUAGCUGGUCUGAGAGGACGAUCAGCCACACCGGAACUGAGACACGGUCCGGACUCCUACGGGAGGCAGCAGUGGGGAAUAUUGGACAAUGGGGGAAACCCUGAUCCAGCGACGCCGCGUGGGUGAAGAAGGCCUGCGGGUUGUAAAGCCCUUUCGGUAGGGAAGAAAUCUCUUGCUCUAACAAAGCAAGGGUUUGACUUAACCUACAUAAGAAGCACCGGCUAACUCUGUGCCAGCAGCCGCGGUAAUACAGAGGGUGCGAGCGUUAAUCGGAAUUACUGGGCGUAAAGCGCACGUAGUCGGCUUGCCAAGUCGGGUGUGAAAUCCCCGGGCUCAACCUGGGAACUGCAUCCGAAACUGGCUUGCUAGAGUAUGGGAGAGGGAGGCGGAAUUUCUGGUGUAGCAGUGAAAUGCGUAGAUAUCAGAAGGAACAUCAGUGGCGAAGGCGGCCUCCUGGACCAAUACUGACGAUCAGGUGCGAAAGCGUGGGGAGCAAACAGGAUUAGAUACCCUGGUAGUCCACGCCCUAAACGAUGACAACUGGAUGUCGGGAGGGUUUGCCUUCCGGUGUCGUAGCUAACGCGUUAAGUUGUCCGCCUGGGAAGUACGGCCGCAAGGUUGA